rnacentral:rRNA from 1 species
GCCUGCAUGAAGCCGGAAUUGCUAGUAAUGGCAGGUCAGCAUACUGCCGUGAAUACGUUCCCGGGCCCUUGUACACACCGCCCGUCACACCAUGAGAGUUGGGGAUACCCAAAGCCCGUGAGCCAACUUUAAAAGAGGCAGCGGUCUAAGGUAGAAUCAAUGAUUGGGGUGAAGUCGUAACAAGGUAUC